rnacentral:rRNA from 1 species
CACAAUGAACGCUGGCGGCGUGCUUAACACAUGCAAGUCGAACGAGAAAUCUUUAGCUCGCUAGAGAAAGUAAAGUGGCGCACGGGUGAGUAACGCGUGGGUAAUCUGCCUCCGAAUCGGGGAUAACAUUGCGAAAGCGAUGCUAAUACCGGAUAAAAUCUGGUUGGCUUCGGUGAACGGGAUCAAAGGUGGUCUCUUUAUAAAAACUACCGUUUGGAGAUGAGCUCGCGUACCAUUAGCUAGUUGGUGAGGUAAAGGCUCACCAAGGCGACGAUGGUUAGCUGGUCUGAGAGGAUGAUCAGCCACACCGGAACUGGAACACGGUCCGGACUCCUACGGGAGGCAGCAGUGAGGAAUUUUGCGCAAUGGGGGAAACCCUGACGCAGCAACGCCGCGUGAGUGAUGAAGGCUUUCGGGUCGUAAAGCUCUGUCAGGUGGGAAGAACCCACCAAGUGUUAAGACCACUUGGUGCUGACGGUACCACCGAAGGAAGCACCGGCUAACUCCGUGCCAGCAGCCGCGGUAAUACGGGGGGUGCGAGCGUUAUUCGGAAUCAUUGGGCGUAAAGGGCGCGCAGGCGGUUUUGUAAGUCAGAUGUGAAAUCCCGGGGCUUAACCCCGGAAGUGCAUAUGAAACUAUGAGACUUGAGUAUGGGAGAGGGAAGCGGAAUUCCUGGUGUAGCGGUGAAAUGCGUAGAUAUCAGGAGGAACACCGGUGGCGAAGGCGGCUUCCUGGACCAAUACUGACGCUGAGGCGCGAAGGCGUGGGGAGCGAACAGGAUUAGAUACCCUAGUAGUCCACGCCCUAAACGAUGAGCACUAGCUUCGGGAGAUUCUGACGUCCCCCGGGGCGUAGGGAAACCGUUAAGUGCUCCGCCUGGGGAGUACGGCCGCAAGGCUAAAACUCAAAGGAAUUGACGGGGGCUCACACAAGCGGUGGAGGAUGUGGCUUAAUUCGAGGCAACGCGAAGAACCUUACCUGGGUUUGACAUGUACGGAUGCCCUCGUGGAAACACGAGUAAGCUGCCUUCGGGUGAAACGUACACAGGUGCUGCAUGGCUGUCGUCAGCUCGUGCCGUGAGGUGUUGGGUUAAGUCCCGUAACGAGCGAAACCCUUGUCGUUAGUUGCCAGCGUGUCAUGGCGGGCACUCUAACGAGACUGCCGGCGUCAAGCCGGAGGAAGGCGGGGAUGACGUCAAGUCAUCAUGGCCUUUAUGUCCAGGGAUGCACACGUCCUACAAUGCCCGGUACAAUGCGACGCCAAACCGCGAGGUGGAGCAAAUCGCAAAAAACCGGGCUCAGUUCAGAUUGCAGUCUGCAACUCGACUGCAUGAAGUCGGAAUCGCUAGUAAUCGCGUAUCAGCUACGACGCGGUGAAUGUGUUCCUGAGCAUUGUACACACCGCCCGUCAAGCCAUGGAAGCUGGGACCUCCCGAAGUCCGCUUAGCUACCCUCGGGAAGCGGCGCC